rnacentral:rRNA from 1 species
GACGAACGCUGGCGGCGUGCUUAACACAUGCAAGUCGAACGGAAAGGCCCUGCUUUUGUGGGGUGCUCGAGUGGCGAAAGGGUGAGUAACACGUGAGUAACCUGCCCUUGACUUUGGGAUAACUUCAGGAAACUGGGGCUAAUACCGGAUAGGAGCUCCUGCUGCAUGGUGGGGGUUGGAAAGUUUCGGCGGUUGGGGAUGGACUGGCGGCUUAUCAGCUUGUUGGUGGGGUAGUGGCUUACCAAGGCUUUGACGGGUAGCCGGCCUGAGAGGGUGACCGGCCACAUUGGGACUGAGAUACGGCCCAGACUCCUACGGGAGGCAGCAGUGGGGAGUAUUGCACAAUGGGCGGAAGCCUGAUGCAGCAACGCCGCGUGCGGGAUGACGGCCUUCGGGUUGUAAACCGCUUUCGCCUGUGACGAAGCGUGAGUGACGGUAAUGAGUAAAGAAGCACCGGCUAACUACGUG